rnacentral:lncRNA from 1 species
GAACGUACAUGUGCCUCCAGUAUUAGUAGUAUCAGUGAACGGUGAUAUUAUAUACAGAACCAAGAGUGCCUGCUAAAACAAGGGCAAAUAUACACUAUAAAAGGUCUUCCUUGCAUGAGUUACUAACACUACACCAUGACAACAGUGCUGUCAGACAUGAAGUCAUGUCUUCUUUUGUAUAAUCACCCAAUAGUUCUAUUGCAAUGUCUGGGAUUCAAACUCUCUGGGUACAUAGAAGAGUAGUAAUAAAGGCAACAAUAAAUAGUGAUACAAUAAUUUGCUUUCUUUUGACCUUCAAUGUUUACUAAAAUUAUGGUACUUUUUCACUGUCAAUAGAAGCAAGUAAUUCAGCUAAUACUAAAUCUAACUUAAAGGACUAACUGUAAUUAAUUGGCUAGACUGCUCAUUGUAAUAAUUUUUUGCAGCCUUCGACCACAAAUCGAGCUUUCUUAAUGGUCGCUCUCACUUUAGUUCGACUGGCAAGUCCUUCAUGGCUGCUCUCACCUUUUUAGCUGGUGGCCACCAGCUAGAUGCACAUAGCACAAUGAAAAAAGGUAACCAGAGGGGAUAUCUCAAUGAUGAACUGAACAUGCUAUAACCCUGAAACCACAAAUAACUCACCAUCAGAUAACCUAAUUCUUAAGCUUCCUAUAAAGGGGAAAACUUACUAUGUCAGUCCCAUACAUAUAGUCACAACAUGUAUGCAGCAAAUGUACAGAUAGGAAAAGGUAGAAGGAAAUACAGAGAACACAAUGGAACAAAAGAAAGCCAUUUUUUCACCUAAAAGUUAUUGUCAAAUGCAGCAAGAACAUGUGUGCAUUUUCUUGAAAUGUACAUAUAUGAAAAAGGCAAAAAGAAUAUAUAUUACACAUUGCAGUGACACACAGUCAGUGAUCCUCUCGGCUAUUGCAUGAGUGGAGAAGGCAGCAAACACGACAUAGAAGUGACUUAAAAGGCUAUCACCAUAUUAACAUGUAGAUCAAAAGUAUUGAAUAGAUUGCAAUAUGUUGGGUGGAUGGGACGAGCUACACUUACUAUCAUCUCGAACUGGCCAAUAAUGCUGAGUGGGCAUCAACACCCUUGAAAAGAAAUCGCAGUAUUUUGGUUUAAUCACAAGCUAUGAUAUACUUCUCACUAACUGGCCAUGUUGAUCCUUCAAUGUAGAUCUUGUACCUAUCACCCAACACAACAAAUUCAGUACCAACGA